rnacentral:lncRNA from 1 species
UGGACUAUUUUUUAAGACUGAAGAGAAGAGAUCUUAGCUUUUCUGGACAACCCUGAACUUGACUUAUCUAAUAAGCCUCAAUUAAUCCACACAGUUACCCUGUAAGAUAGUUACAAUUACAUUUCACACAGGAGGACACUGAGAUCCAAGAUGUUUAAGUAGCUUCCCUAAUGUCAUACAGCUUUUGGCACACAUGGCAGUAAAUCCAUAGGGUCUGGAUAGGGUCUGGUUCUUGACGACUGUACUUUUUUUUUUUUUUUUUUUUUUGUAGAUGUUGUCUCACUCUGUCACCCAGGCUGGAUUGCGGUGGCGCGAUCUCGGCUCACUGAAACCUCCGCCUCCUGGGCUCAAGCAAUUCUCUUGCCUCAGCCUCCCAAGUAGCUGGGAUUACAGGUGCGCCACCACACCCCACUAAUUCUUGUAGAGACAGGGUUUCACCAUGUUGGCCAGGCUGGUCUCAAACUCCUGACCUCAAGUGAACCGCUCACCUCGACCUACCAAAGUGCUGGGAUUACAGGCCUGAGCCACUGCACCUGGCCGAGGACUGUGCUCUUUAACACUAGGGAAUAUAUCUUCUCACAGGAAUGGGAAUAUCAGGUAACUAAUAUUGUGAAACCAUCUAGAUGCAAUAAUUGGGGAUUUGUUAAGAAAGUUAGGGUGUAUCUACAUAAUGGAUGACAUAAAAUAUUAUUUUAUGAAAAAGAAAACAAUCAUGUUAUAUUGAUUAACCAGAAGAGUUGCCUUAGCCAUGGAGCAUGGAUGCUGAGGACCAGAAUCCCCAACUGACCAGCAAAGGAUAUGUAACACAAACAAGAAUUAGACCUGUGCUGCUUUAAGCUAUUGAGAUUGUGGGCUGCUUGUUAUUGCAGCAUAAUAUCACCCAUCCUAAUUAAUACAAUUAAUGCUCUAAAUACAAGGACAGAGUCUGAAGAAACAAGCAAAGCAUAGUGGUGAUGAUGAAUUCUAAUCACACAGAGGAUUACACUAGGACAGAAUAAGGCACAGAAGGACUUCAAUUCAUUUAUCAUGACCUCUGAAAUGAGACACAUACAUUUUUAAACACCACCUUUUAACUGUUGCCAAUACUUAAGCCUCAAUCCCCUUGUCUCAAAAUGUGAAUAAUUUGCUGUGAAAAUCAGAUAAAACAAAAAACUUCAGGCACUUAGCACAGAGCCUAGCACACAAUCAUAACUCAAACCGCAGUAGCUUUCAUCCAUCAUUCGUGGGAUGUCCAUCUUAACAACAUAACAGAGACACAGGUUGGAGCUAGAGCUGCCAUAAGAAGGGAUCAAAUUUCUAUUGUCAGACAAGGACUCAUUUGUCUUUAUCUUUUAGCCACUUUUAGAGUCUAGGCAGAAGUGGGACGUUGUGGGAGGGCUUGCUCCAUACCCCAUUUGUUAUUUCCGAUAAAAUGAUUAUAACCUUUCAUAUGAUCCACAUUUCACAAGUAAGGAAGCCAAAGUUUCUUAGACAAAGUCAAAAGCCAGUAAUCCACAACUAUCAAUUUCUUUUUUAAAAAAUACAACAUGGUGGAACAUUUUUAUUUGAUGUCCGAUCUCAUCAGCUCAGAGGGAGAGUCAUGAUAACCUGCCUGAGAGGCUGGGACCCCUAAGAACUCACUGAAAAAUCAUGAGAAACAUCUCUAGUCCACAGAGCUCCACCAGGGUGGCCACAGUUGUUUUUGGCCAUGAGGAAAGAGAACAUGUUGAAGAAUAGCCUAUCUUUAUUUGACUGAAUACUCCUACUGUUUGUGUGACAUAAGAAAAGAUUAAGUUUGCUCUGAGCAAUGGGAAAUUCUUAGAUUCUUGUUGACUUCACUGCUCCAUAUGACUUGAAACAAACAGAACACCCUAUACUAAUCAUAACAGACUCAGGAAGCCUGAGGAGGGGUGAAUAUUUUAUAUUUAUAUAACAAAAAACAAAGCAGUGGCAAAUGGAAACCUACGUUAAUAAUAAGAUAAAAUGAAUGUCAUAAUAUUAGAAUAUACCACCUUCUACUAAGUUUAACAAGUGUCACGUGACUUCGAAGAGAAGAUAGUAAGGAACAAAAUGCUGUUGACAAAUUCUG